rnacentral:rRNA from 1 species
GAAGGUGGGGCAGAUGAUUGGGGUGAAGUCGUAACAAGGUAGCCGUAUCGGAAGGUGCGGCUGGAUCACCUCCUUUCU